rnacentral:rRNA from 1 species
GGUCGGUACAAUGGGUUGCGAAACUGUGAGGUGGAGCGAAUCCCAAAAAGCCGGCCUCAGUUCGGAUUGGGGUCUGCAACUCGACCCCAUGAAGUCGGAGUCGCUAGUAAUCGCAGAUCAGCAACGCUGCGGUGAAUACGUUCCCGGGCCUUGUACACACCGCCCGUCAAGUCACGAAAGUCGGUAACACCCGAAGCCAGUGGCCCAUCCUCGUGAGGGAGCUGUCGAAGGUGGGAUCGGUGAUUGGGACUAAGUCGUAACAAGGUAGCCGUACCGGAAGGUGCGGCUGGAUCACCUCCUUUCUAAGGAG